AACAAUGACACAAUAUGGCUGUACUGUAUAACUAAAAAAGAAAUAUUUAGAAAACGAAUAUGUGAAAAUUCAUUAUGUGAUUAGUAGGCUAAUAAUGACUCAAUAGUUUUGCCUGUGAGUUUUGCAUUAUAGAACAAUCUUAUUAUGGAUAUUUUUUGUGAAGAUUGAUUUGUAAUUUGAUGGUAGAAGUGUAAAAUAUUAUUAAUUUAUUUAAUUUAAGUACAGUCAAAAUUGACUAUAAUUGUUGAAUGUUUUAUAUAUUUAUUUAUCUAUAUUUUAUUAUAUUUGUGUUUUAGUAGCCUAUUUGUUGGUGUGUAAAAAAAUAUUAUAGCACAAAAGUGCUUUCAAUAUAAGGUUAUAUAAGAAUGUGUUGUGUGUAUGAUUUAAUCAAUUAAAGUCAGUGAUAGAAGUGUCUGUUGUUUUAUUUAUAGAAAUGUAUAAGGUGUUGUAUAUUCAUUAUUAUCCUAAAAGUAAAAAAUUAAUAAAAGUAGGCUAUAUCUAAUUAUUUUUGUGGAACGUUGUCAAAAUUUUAUCAAUGUUUUAUUUAAAUUUAAUUAAAAAUUUAAUUUAUUUAUUAAAAUGAUAUACAAUAGUCAUUAAAUAGGCUAAAUAUUUAGUGAUCUAUAAAGAAUUGUGUUAGUAUUAUUUAAAACCAAAAAAUCUGGGGUAGCUAUAUUUUUUAUAGAUUGGUGAGAGCUAUGGAAAGAAAUAAAUGGACUUUAAGCACUGAAACAUGCGAUUUUGUAGCUAUAAUGUCAAUAUGUUGAACUUUGUGGUAAAAUCAUACCUAUAUCUUGUUUAGUAAUUUGUUGUAUUGACACGUCAAGCUAGUAGAUAUUUAUAAUAUUAUAGUGGCAUGAUUGGAUGUUUUUAAAUAAAGAUUUACAAAAACUAUGAUUGUGAAAGUGGAAGUCGUGACAUUUGCCUAGUUUGGUAGCCCAUACUCGGAAUUGGUCUGCAUUUAACUUAUGCAAGUACACACACACACAGUAGUGAGAAGUGAAGACACCGUGAACACAUACACAGAGCAGUGGACAGCUAUAGAUCCUGCGCCCUGGGAGCAACUGAGGGGUUCAGCAGAACAGGUUAUUUUGCCAGGUGAGGGGGCGUGUUUUGGAGGGUAAGUGAUGUCAAUGUAACCCUUUAUUUAAAGUGCUGAGUAUGACGGUUCUGGCACUCAGUUGGACUGUUUGUUGAACUCUGUGUAAAAUGGAGAAAAUUGAAAGCAACAUGGUUGUUUCCAGGUUUGGGAAGAAAGACUUCGUUGUACCUAAAGGUCUGAAUGUUUGCUUCUUGACGGAUUCCAUGUGCCGUGGUUUGGACCAAUACUGUGAGGGCGCAUAUUGUUGGGUUCAUCCGGGAACUACUUUGGUCCGUUCAGCACAACAGCACGUUUAUCAUCUGAGAAGAGUAAACGGGGAUGCCUUGUUAAUCGUUCACAUUGGGACAAAUGAUGUCGCUAGUGGGGUUUCAGCGGAAACCAUCGUUAACCGAAUGGCAUUGCUUGUGGAACGCCUUCGUCACUCUUUUAAGUACAAACUGUAUUUCGCUAUUUGUUCUGUUUUGCCUCGUUAUGUUGAUGACAAGCAAACUAAACAUACAGUGAAGCGUUGCAAUAUAUUGUUGGAAAGAUGGUCUAGUGAGAUGGACAAUGUUGUUUUUUUUGCAAACGUGGAGAGCCUUUGUGUCUGGAGGAUGUAUAUGUUCUGAAAUGUUCCGUCCAGAUGGACUUCACUUGAAUGUGAAAGGGAAAGAUCGUCUUUUUCAGUAUUUCAAACAUUUUUUGUGGAACUUUUGUAAUUAUAUUCUUCGCUUUCCAAGCUUGCAGCAAUAAAUCUCUAUGGAAAUAA